rnacentral:sRNA from 1 species
GUCAGGCAUGUGGCAUGUGCAUGUAGUCCCAGCUACUUGGGAGACUGAGGCAGGAAGUUCACUUAAGCCCAGGAUUUUGAUACCGGCCUGAGCAAUGUAGUGAGAACCCCACCUCAA